AAGCCGAUAGCAUACGCAUCACGGAUACUGAGAAUCGCUACGCGCAAAUUGAAAGGAAGCUCUGUCAUUAACAUGGGCUUGUGAUAAGUUUCAAGAUUACGUAUUUUGUCGCAAAUUUCAUAUCGAGACCGACCACAAGCCGUUAGUUCCUUUGCUUAGUACUAAGCACUUGGACAGGUUACCGCCAAGAAUUGUUUGUUUCCGACUUCGUUUGGCGAGAUACGACUUCACAAUUGAACAUGUACCUGGGAAACUGCUUUAUACAGCUGACACGUUGUCAAGAGCACCGCUACCAGAACAGAUCACAGAGGAUUCUCUGCAGGACUUUGUUGAGACCUUCAUCAACGAGGUAGUUGCUAAUCUACCAACUACAGCGGACAGACUACAAAUGUACCGAGAAGCACAAGCUAGAAAUGCUACGUGUGCCCAAGUGAUGCAGUACUGCCAGUCACAAUGGCCCGACAAAUGUCCCGUGGUAACCUCUGAGUCUCUAAUCCCGUUUUGGAGAGGAAGAUCGCUACUAACGGUACACAACAACUUACUCCUAUACAACAACCGCGUAGUGAUUCCGGACGAACUCAGAAGAGACGUCCUGACAAAAAUUCUUGAGGGUCAUCAGGUAUAGUUCGUUGCAGACAGACAGCAAACACCUCCGUCUGGUGGCCGGGGAUAACCAAAGAGAUAUAUCAGUUGGUGCAACAAUGCCCCACAUGUGCAAAUGAGAAUCCACAUUUGAACUGAACCACUCAUAACUCCUUAGUUACCAGAUUUUCCUUGGCAAGUCGUGGGAACGGACUUGAUGGAGUUAAAUGGAGCUCACUAUCUGUUGUUAUUUGCACGGAUGUACGUAAGCUGGCGCAGUUGCGAAAGACAAAUCUUUGAACUAAAUCUAACCUGAAUAGAUAAAUAGUCCUUAUCUAAAAUAUCUGUUACUGAUGAUGCAUGUGAGCAUAGCGGUCACAAGCAUCGAUCGACGUAAUUCGAGAAUUGUUCCUGAUGUGCAUGUCUCUAUAUAUGUCUCUAUUUUCUACGCCUCGCCAAACGUUGACGAUAUAUGGCCACACGAGACUAGCAUGUUCCAUACUACAUAUACAUAUGUAUGAUGAACGCUGCGUCAAACAGGUUUACUUUUAAGUAUCCAUAAAAACCAUGCCCAACUAAAGACCCAUCCGACCAGAACGUAAUAACCAAUUCUCGUUGCCCUCCUACUACAGGCAAAUCCUUGGGACGUAUCAAUCGGUGCACGUGCCUAUUUGGCUGCCCCCAGAACACGUUCGAUCGACCGCUCGCAAACUCAACGUCCAGCUCGAUAUAAUCGCGGUCUCUUCGCUCGGGAUGAGUCGCUCUCUUGCAUUCGUCGUAGGAUACGAGAACCCCGGAUGAUUGAUCGAGAUGAAUUUUGUUGAAUUUCAGAGCACUGACGCGUGUGACAAUGAAAUGAUAUUCACAGACGGUAUUUUCUGCGUAACCUUCUAACGCAUACUUACGAUAUCUGCACAGAAAAAAGGCAGCACUGCAUGUAGUAGUUGCUAAGUUGUAUGAAUAGAUAAAUAGAGAGAGAACAGAAGAUGGAAAUGUAAAUCAAUAAAUGGCAAA